GCAUGCCCUUCGGGGUGAUGGGGACUCACAGGAGACCGCCGGGGUCAACUCGGAGGAAGGUGGGGACGACGUCAAGUCAUCAUGCCCCUUAUGUCUUGGGCUGCACACGUGCUACAAUGGCCGGUACAAAGAGCUGCGAUACCGUGAGGUGGAGCGAAUCUCAAAAAGCCGGUCUCAGUUCGGAUUGGGGUCUGCAACUCGACCCCAUGAAGUCGGAGUUGCUAGUAAUCGCAGAUCAGCAUUGCUGCGGUGAAUACGUUCCCGGGCCUU
rnacentral:rRNA from 1 species